rnacentral:rRNA from 1 species
AGUGAACGCUGGCGGUAGGCCUAACACAUGCCAGUCGAACGGCAGCACAGUAAGAGCUUGCUCUUACGGGUGGCGAGUGGCGGACGGGUGAGGAAUACAUCGGAAUCUACUUUUUCGUGGGGGAUAACGUAGGGAAACUUACGCUAAUACCGCAUACGACCUACGGGUGAAAGCAGGGGAUCUUCGGACCUUGCGCGAUUGAAUGAGCCGAUGUCGGAUUAGCUAGUUGGCGGGGUAAAGGCCCACCAAGGCGACGCUCCGUAGCUGGUCUGAGAGGAUGAUCGGCAACACUGGAACUGGGACACGGUCCAGACUCCUACGGGAGGCAGCAGUGGGGAAUAUUGGACAAUGGGCGCAAGCCUGAUCCAGCCAUACCGCGGGGGUGAAGAAGGCCUUCGGGUUGUAAAGCCCUUUUGUUGGGAAAGAAAAGCAGCAGGUUAAUACCCCGCUGUUCUGACGGGACCCAAAGAAUAAGCACCGGCUAACUUCGU